AGUGAACGCUGGCGGUAGGCCUAACACAUGCAAGUCGAACGGCAGCACAGUAAGAGCUUGCUCUUACGGGUGGCGAGUGGCGGACGGGUGAGGAAUACAUCGGAAUCUACUUUUUCGUGGGGGAUAACGUAGGGAAACUUACGCUAAUACCGCAUACGACCUACGGGUGAAAGCAGGGGAUCUUCGGACCUUGCGCGAUUGAAUGAGCCGAUGUCGGAUUAGCUAGUUGGCGGGGUAAAGGCCCACCAAGGCGACGAUCCGUAGCUGGUCUGAGAGGAUGAUCAGCCACACUGGAACUGAGACACGGUCCAGACUCCUACGGGAGGCAGCAGUGGGGAAUAUUGGACAAUGGGCGCAAGCCUGAUCCGGCCAUACCGCGUGGGUGAAGAAGGCCUUCGGGUUGUAAAGCCCUUUUGUUGGGAAAAAAAAGCAGCAGGUUAAUACCCCGCUGUUCUGACGGUACCCAAAGAAUAAGCACCGGCUAACUUCGUG
rnacentral:rRNA from 1 species